CUGGGUGGGUGAUAGACAUCUGGCUGUUUCCUGGAAAUGCUGUGGAGAAAAAUCCCAUUAGACUUUAAAACUUUUAAGGGCACAGAUCCUAUCUUUAACCUUUGAAAUCCCAAAGCCAUUGUGAUAAUUCUCUACUCAAUAAAUACUUCUGGUUUUGAGAUUUAUGCUAAUUCUGAUACCAGGCUCUAUACUAGGAGAGGCUGAAAUGUAAUAUUUAAUAGAAAUGAUGAAUAAAUUAAUUGAUGAGUUCAGUACCACAAAGCAAACAUCCAGUAGUUUAUUUCACCCUGAGACUGUAUUCCUCAGGUUCAGAUCUAUGAGCAUGACAACAUCUGAGCAGAUGAAGCUGGGAAGGUGUGAGCGGUAGGGAGAAGAUGGUGGUGACAUCAACAACUGUCAGUCACGGAGAGAGUCCAUGAUCACCCUUAAAUCAUCUGUCCUCAUGUUUUCUGUUUUGACACUUUUCUCCAGAGUUAAGUGAAGAAUUAAGGCCCUCUUUCUGGAAAAAAGUGAGCCAGUCCUGUGGAGUCAAUGGAAACAUCCGGAGCCCUAACAAUCUCUCAGCCAACACUGACCCCCAGGCUGCCCUCCCAGCCCAGACGUGACAACCAGCUCAGAGCUCUGCCAGAAGGACACCACCUCAAACUUCUCCCCAGAUUCCCAUUUUGGGGAGGAUAAAGGUUCUCAGGUUCAUAACCAGAAUGCAGUUGGAUGCCAUACAGCAAUCCCAGGUGGUUCAGUAAAUAUGGGGUGGGAAUUUGGGCCCUGAGGUCUACCCCAUUCUCACCUCUUCAGACUCAUUCUCCAAGACCAAGAGCCAGGAUUUCCUGUUGGCACAGUCUGUGACACCAGCCUCCCAGCUGUGCUUUUGUCCUGAGAAGUAGUAACACCUGCUGCUGUUCAGCCACCCCCCCAAGGGGCAGAGCUCACAAACUGUGCCUGGGCAAGAACAAGGACAAAGACAGACGUUUGGGAUGGCAUAACUUCCCAUGACUUUGGUUCCUACAGCAAAAACCAAUAAAUUGCACCCAUG